rnacentral:tRNA from 1 species
GAUAAAUUUAAUAUAAAGUUUCUAACUUUAUUAUAGCAUUAUAAUAUAUUGUUAUUUAUCU